rfam:Camelus ferus unplaced genomic scaffold scaffold112, whole genome shotgun sequence.
GAGGGAAUAGCUCAGUGGUAGAGCAUGUGCUUGGCAUAUACAAGGUCCUGGGUUUUAUCCCCAGUACCUCCA